UUCGAUAUAGUCCAGUGGUUAGGAUGCAUGGCUUUCAUCCAUGGGGCCCGGGUUCAAUUCCCGGUAUCGAAA